GCAAAUUUUACAAGGCUUGAAAGUAGAGAUGUUUUAUAAAACCCACCAGUAGUGUGACAUCAGCUGGUUAAAUAUUUUUCUAAUGCCAGAUACAACUCAGGUUUUUGUAAUAAAUUUUGAACUUUAUUUAUUGUGCAUUUUUCAAGUAUCAUUGACAAUAAGAAAUGGACUGGAUCUGGCAGUAGGCUUUCUUUGUGUUGAGCUAUACCUCCGUUUACCAUUUAUGCCCACAUUUAUUUCAGCACGAUACUUGCGUUGCCCUUCACCUGGUGGCCUUCCCUUUGCAGUGUGGAUUAGAUGCCGUACGUCAUCGUAAUUUUCCUCAUCACUGCUUCACAUUGCCGUGUAUUUUUGGUUUCUGCCAUCAUUGUAUUUUUGUGUAUCUACAUGUGCUUUAACGUGUUAGAUUUAUUUAUUUCAGCUUUUUCAGCUGAUGAUUUUUUUGCAUGAAUAAAUGUAUAUUU
rnacentral:misc_RNA from 1 species